rnacentral:tRNA from 1 species
GGCUUUGUGGUGUAAAUUAGCAUGUUGGAUUGCAAAUUCAGCGAUGUGGCGAAGGCUACCUUAGCUU